rnacentral:lncRNA from 1 species
UGGCAUUUACUUGGUUAAAAAACUUGCCUAUUGCCGACUUGCCAAAUAUCACUAGCAUGAACCCAAAAAAAUCGUUUAACACAACCUUCUGUGCAUCCCUUUACUUUACGGAAUGGUACAAUGGUUGUCAUCGUGUUGAUUUAAAGGAAAAACAAACAAUGUGAUCACAGAACCAGAGGUACAAUCCACAGCCAUAAAUGAUAGAGUUGUGAAACUUCUCACAGCCAUACUUGGUAAAAUCAUAAGUUAUGAUG